GGGUUGUGAGGUUAAGCGACUAAGCGUACACGGUGGAUGCCCUGGCAGUCAGAGGCGAUGAAGGACGUGCUAAUCUGCGAUAAGCGUCGGUAAGGUGAUAUGAACCGUUAUAACCGGCGAUUUCCGAAUGGGGAAACCCAGUGUGUUUCGACACACUAUCAUUAACUGAAUCCAUAGGUUAAUGAGGCGAACCGGGGGAACUGAAACAUCUAAGUACCCCGAGGAAAAGAAAUCAACCGAGAUUCCCCCAGUAGCGGCGAGCGAACGGGGAGCAGCCCAGAGCCUGAAUCAGUGUGUGUGUUAGUGGAAGCGUCUGGAAAGGCGCGCGAUACAGGGUGACAGCCCCGUACACAAAAAUGCACAUGCUGUGAGCUCGAUGAGUAGGGCGGGACACGUGGUAUCCUGUCUGAAUAUGGGGGGACCAUCCUCCAAGGCUAAAUACUCCUGACUGACCGAUAGUGAACCAGUACCGUGAGGGAAAGGCGAAAAGAACCCCGGCGAGGGGAGUGAAAAAGAACCUGAAACCGUGUACGUACAAGCAGUGGGAGCACGCUUAGGCGUGUGACUGCGUACCUUUUGUAUAAUGGGUCAGCGACUUAUAUUCUGUAGCAAGGUUAACCGAAUAGGGGAGCCGAAGGGAAACCGAGUCUUAACUGGGCGUUAAGUUGCAGGGUAUAGACCCGAAACCCGGUGAUCUAGCCAUGGGCAGGUUGAAGGUUGGGUAACACUAACUGGAGGACCGAACCGACUAAUGUUGAAAAAUUAGCGGAUGACUUGUGGCUGGGGGUGAAAGGCCAAUCAAACCGGGAGAUAGCUGGUUCUCCCCGAAAGCUAUUUAGGUAGCGCCUCGUGAAUUCAUCUCCGGGGGUAGAGCACUGUUUCGGCAAGGGGGUCAUCCCGACUUACCAACCCGAUGCAAACUACGAAUACCGGAGAAUGUUAUCACGGGAGACACACGGCGGGUGCUAACGUCCGUCGUGAAGAGGGAAACAACCCAGACCGCCAGCUAAGGUCCCAAAGUCAUGGUUAAGUGGGAAACGAUGUGGGAAGGCCCAGACAGCCAGGAUGUUGGCUUAGAAGCAGCCAUCAUUUAAAGAAAGCGUAAUAGCUCACUGGUCGAGUCGGCCUGCGCGGAAGAUGUAACGGGGCUAAACCAUGCACCGAAGCUGCGGCAGCGACGCUGAUGCGUUGUUGGGUAGGGGAGCGUUCUGUAAGCCUGCGAAGGUGUGCUGUGAGGCAUGCUGGAGGUAUCAGAAGUGCGAAUGCUGACAUAAGUAACGAUAAAGCGGGUGAAAAGCCCGCUCGCCGGAAGACCAAGGGUUCCUGUCCAACGUUAAUCGGGGCAGGGUGAGUCGACCCCUAAGGCGAGGCCGAAAGGCGUAGUCGAUGGGAAACAGGUUAAUAUUCCUGUACUUGGUGUUACUGCGAAGGGGGGACGGAGAAGGCUAUGUUGGCCGGGCGACGGUUGUCCCGGUUUAAGCGUGUAGGCUGGUUUUCCAGGCAAAUCCGGAAAAUCAAGGCUGAGGCGUGAUGACGAGGCACUACGGUGCUGAAGCAACAAAUGCCCUGCUUCCAGGAAAAGCCUCUAAGCAUCAGGUAACAUCAAAUCGUACCCCAAACCGACACAGGUGGUCAGGUAGAGAAUACCAAGGCGCUUGAGAGAACUCGGGUGAAGGAACUAGGCAAAAUGGUGCCGUAACUUCGGGAGAAGGCACGCUGAUAUGUAGGUGAAGUCCCUCGCGGAUGGAGCUGAAAUCAGUCGAAGAUACCAGCUGGCUGCAACUGUUUAUUAAAAACACAGCACUGUGCAAACACGAAAGUGGACGUAUACGGUGUGACGCCUGCCCGGUGCCGGAAGGUUAAUUGAUGGGGUCAGCGCAAGCGAAGCUCUUGAUCGAAGCCCCGGUAAACGGCGGCCGUAACUAUAACGGUCCUAAGGUAGCGAAAUUCCUUGUCGGGUAAGUUCCGACCUGCACGAAUGGCGUAAUGAUGGCCAGGCUGUCUCCACCCGAGACUCAGUGAAAUUGAACUCGCUGUGAAGAUGCAGUGUACCCGCGGCAAGACGGAAAGACCCCGUGAACCUUUACUAUAGCUUGACACUGAACAUUGAGCCUUGAUGUGUAGGAUAGGUGGGAGGCUUUGAAGUGUGGACGCCAGUCUGCAUGGAGCCGACCUUGAAAUACCACCCUUUAAUGUUUGAUGUUCUAACGUUGACCCGUAAUCCGGGUUGCGGACAGUGUCUGGUGGGUAGUUUGACUGGGGCGGUCUCCUCCUAAAGAGUAACGGAGGAGCACGAAGGUUGGCUAAUCCUGGUCGGACAUCAGGAGGUUAGUGCAAUGGCAUAAGCCAGCUUGACUGCGAGCGUGACGGCGCGAGCAGGUGCGAAAGCAGGUCAUAGUGAUCCGGUGGUUCUGAAUGGAAGGGCCAUCGCUCAACGGAUAAAAGGUACUCCGGGGAUAACAGGCUGAUACCGCCCAAGAGUUCAUAUCGACGGCGGUGUUUGGCACCUCGAUGUCGGCUCAUCACAUCCUGGGGCUGAAGUAGGUCCCAAGGGUAUGGCUGUUCGCCAUUUAAAGUGGUACGCGAGCUGGGUUUAGAACGUCGUGAGACAGUUCGGUCCCUAUCUGCCGUGGGCGCUGGAGAAUUGAGGGGGGCUGCUCCUAGUACGAGAGGACCGGAGUGGACGCAUCACUGGUGUUCGGGUUGUCAUGCCAAUGGCACUGCCCGGUAGCUAAAUGCGGAAGAGAUAAGUGCUGAAAGCAUCUAAGCACGAAACUUGCCCCGAGAUGAGUUCUCCCUGACUCCUUGAGAGUCCUGAAGGAACGUUGAAGACGACGACGUUGAUAGGCCGGGUGUGUAAGCGCAGCGAUGCGUUGAGCUAACCGGUACUAAUGAACCGUGAGGCUUAACCUUACAACGCCGAAG
rnacentral:rRNA from 1 species